AGUACAGGAUAGUGAGCCUUUAGAUUAUGGAAAUGAAUAGAAUGGGUUCUAUUGUUACCAAGCAAGCUUCUUGUUCAAGGUUUCUGGGCUGCUGGAUAUGGAAGAAAUCUCAAAGAGUAACAGAAUUAAGAAUUUGUAGGGACCACAGUGGCUGGAAUUCACGAGAAUCUGGUUUGCCUGUGCGUGCCCUGGAGUGGAUGAAACAUCUGUAUUCUCCAGUCCAAGACUCAGGGAACAUCUCAGAAGAGAAGGAGCCGCUCAGAUGAUACCAGCCAACAGCAAGAGGACUGAGUGAGGCUGUGAAAAUCUGAACCACGACCCCUAAUGAAGAACCCACUUCUCACCCAACCCAAAGCUUAGGUCCUGGUAAGAUGGAGGUCACAUGACCUCAGUCAGGCUGAAGGUGAGAUACUGUGAGCCCCCAUGAGCCUGGCUGCAUGCCAAGGCCAUAUUUGGCUAAAGAAAGUAUGCCCUUUAAAAGCCCAGCAUGUGUGUACCUACACGUGCUCAGCUAAUGAAAGGUGCGCUUAUUCUUGCAGCCCUGGUGAGGAACAAACAAUUCCACUCCUGAUAGACAAGACCUUUCACAGUGCCCACGUCUCUGGAAGCUGUUAAUAUAAAUUCUCUAAAGGUCUGUGACACUUGAGGGCUCUUCUUGUUUGGUGUUAGUUUGAAUUGAAUUUACAUGCUCCUGGACCUUUAAACAAAGGAGUUAUCCCUGAGCUGGAGGCAGAAGGGUAGUGCAGUGUAGCAUCUAAGUUCUUGAGGCUCUCGGUUUCAAACCCAGGGUCACAUUAAGAAAACCAAAGAAGUCAGUUUCCAGCUGGCAUGGUACUUUGAAGAGCAUAAUUAAGAUGGAGAAUCUACCUCGGAAGAACAGGAUCGCUUAGCAAAUGUUCAAGCUUCAUUUGAGAGGCUAUGGGGUGAAAAAUAUGAACUUAUUGACGGAAGGAAAGGGGAGGGAACAAGUUAGACCUCAUGAAGAAUGUGAAUUACACUUACCAGAUGGCUUCAUAAGGUGACCUUAUUGGCAGUGAGUCACAGGGCACGCAGGAGGCUAGGCCUGCCAUACCAAAGGCAGAAUGGAGAGGAGUUUGGCAUGGUUCCCCCAAGCUGAAGGCCAUGAUUCAUUGGGAAUACAGCUGGGGCCUCGGGCAGAUGGGAGAUAGCUCAGCAGUGUAGGCACUGUGGGCUCCCGGGACUAGAGUCACAUCUCCAUCAUCUCUGAUGUAGAGCAGGAUCUUGUUAAGCUAUCUUCGCCAAGGGAGCAGAGACUGCUCAAGGUCACAUUUUCCCCUCUUUGCAGAUUUCAAAUGAGGUGACACGCGGGUGGCAUUGGAACAUUCCUGGCAGGGAGGGCAUCCCCCAGUCCCUGUUCCCUUUCUUAGACCUUGCUCUCUUUCAACUCCUUCUGUUCCUGCUUUACACUGCAAGAACCCGGAAGGGCUUUGAACUGACCUGUGUUCAAGUUCACCCUCACUCCUUGCUUGCUGUGUGUCUUGGAGGAAGCCACUGUAAGCCCCAAUGCCUCAGCCACCAGACAGAAGAGCUAAUGACUAUUGUAGGAGGAACGAUAGUAUUUAUGAAAGACUCUGACAUUCAGUGCCCACUCCAGUCGAUCUCGGCACUUUUGAUAUUUUGUCCAAAUGCAGCUGUGGGGCGUGGUCCUGUGUGAUGUGUAGGGUUUAGUAACAUGUCUGGUCUCUACAAACUUGAUGUCAGAAAUGCCUCACCUCCAGCUGGAACAAUGAAAAAUGAGUCCAAGCACAGUCAAAUGUCUCCUAAUGGUUUCUGGCUAAGUAUGACUUCCAACUCAUUGGCUUCUUAGUUUGGGGAAAGCAAUCUGCUGUGUAAGGGACAGUCCAAGUAGCUUUUAGCUGGGUGUGUAAGUUAAGAAGUGAGCUAUUAGAGUGGGCUUAAGGUGUUGGAGCGAUGGCUCAGCAGUCCAGAGCAUGUACUGCUCACAUAGAGAACUCAGCUGUCAUGUCAGGUGGCUCACAUGCGCCUGCGAUUCCAACUGGAGGAGAUUCAAAUACCUUCUGGCUUUGCGAGGCACUGUAAUCACACACACACACACACACACACACACACACACACACACACACACACACAGAGAGAGAGAGAGAGAGAGAGAGAGAGAGAUUGAGAGGACUAUUUCUCUUCAGGGAGCCCACAUAACUUUGUCACAUCUGAGAGCAAGCAGGCAGACUCCCCCAGGUUGUAGCCUCUGUCCAGCUCCCUCUCCUCUGACAGACAGUGGGCAGAAGAACUCCAUCAAAUAAGCCUGCAUCCAAGCAGAAAACAAAACAUGGCGACCCCUCUUGUCCGCACCAUGGUCACACUCUGUCUCUUUUAAUGAUGUUUCUUUCACAGGCACAGAAGGGGAGCUGAGCCCUCCCUAAGGUCUGACACUCUGAGGCUCAGAACGGUUUCCCACAGUGGCCUAUAUAGUCCACAGAGAUAGGAAAGAAUCAUAUGCUGCAAGCUGAGUGAGUGAGCCAGCUGUUCUUAUUUUCCCCAAGGAAGUGCCAGGCCCCCUGUGUGAUGCAGGCUACUUAUCAGCCUGGUGGCUAGCCAGUUCUGCAACACCAGGAAAAGCCUUGCUCAAGAUCUUACUACAGUUUAGUCUCCCUAAAAUAAGUUUCCUUUUUAUCUAUAUAUGGCAGUUUUGCCUGCAUGUUUGUAUGUGCAUCAGAAGGUGUCAGAUCCCUCGGAACAGAUGGUUGUGAGCCACCAUGUGGGUGUUGGGAGCCAAACUCCAGUCCUUUGGAAGAUCAGUAAGUGUUCUGAGCUGCUGAUCCAUUCCUCCAGACCCUUAAAAUAUAUCUUAACAAGGCUAGUGAGCUGGCUUCUCUCUCUGGCUUGCACUUUGACCUAACUCAGGGUUCAAGUUGGAUCAAAAUUAGACAGAACUGAUUCUUCUUUUCCCUUCUUUUUAUUGUUCUUAAGGACUGAUUUUAUUUAUCUUUGUGGGGGGUGUUGUGCCAAUGCCUCUGGCUUUGCCAUCCAUAUGGUGGGUAAACCGAGGCAGGCAACCUUAGGCGGUCAGUGCUUAGAGCCGAUGACUAGGUGGAUCUAGAUAAAACUCUAGGGGCUGCUGCCAAAAGUGCCAGUGAUUAGAGGAUUAGAGAAGCUACUCAACAGAAUUUUUUUCUGAGGAAACAAAGCUUAAUUUCCUGGGGCUGGCAGUCUCUGUGGCCAGUGGAAAAACUAUGAACUCUUUUAACUCCUUGGAAAUGGCAAGAAAAAGAAGGAAAAAGAGAGAAUUCAUACACACACACACACACACACACAGAGUUGAUGGAUGGGAGGAACAAUUUUCCAGCUACAUCAAACUUUAUUCCUUCUUUCACAGCUUAUAUAUUCCAGCAAAAUCUUUCAAUCAGUAUACAAUUAUAAUGUGAUUAUGUUUUAGUUUUCUUCUGAUAAAUGAUUAUGAAAAAACAAUGUAUUUUCCAAUACCUAUACAAGAAAUAACAUAAUGUAGUACAGGUAAAGAAAACAAAUUAUUCUCAGAAACCCACAUACAUUCAGAUUAACAAAGUGUAAGCAAGCAAGGUAGUUUUCUCAGCUAGCUUCUCUUACUGGCAGGC